rnacentral:snRNA from 13 species
UAAAAGGGUUUCUGCCGUGAGUGGCACACGGAGGAGGCACCACGUGCUCUAUCCGUGCGGAAUCGACAUCAAGAGAUUUCGGAAGCAUAAUUUUUGGCGACCGGGGCAGCCGGUGAUCACGUUACCUGGCGCUCCC